UCCCAUAUGGUCUAGUGGAUUAGGAUUUGGCGCUUUCACCGCCAAGGCCCGGAUUCAAUUCCCGGUGUGGGAA
rnacentral:tRNA from 1 species